rnacentral:tRNA from 1 species
GCGCUCAUAGCUCAGCUGGAUAGAGCACUUGGCUACGAACUAAGGGGUCGGGAGUUCGAAUCUCUCGUAGGGACGCCA